rnacentral:rRNA from 1 species
UACAGAGGGUGCAAGCGUUGUUCGGAAUUACUGGGCGUAAAGCGCACGCAGGUGGCUGAGUCAGUCGAUUGUGAAAGCCCUGGGCUUAACCUGGGAAUUGCAGUCGAUACUACUCAGCUAGAGUAUGGGAGAGGGUAGUGGAAUUCCCGGUGGUAGCGGUGAAAUGCGUAGAUAUCGGGAGGAACACCAGAGGCGAAGGCGGCGAACUUGACAGUUACUGACACUCAACUGCGAAAGCGUGGGGAGCAAACAGGG